rnacentral:rRNA from 1 species
UGCCAGCAGCCGCGGUAAUACGAAGGGGGCUAGCGUUGUUCGGAAUUACUGGGCGUAAAGCGUACGUAGGUGGCAAAGUCAGUCAGGCGUGAAAGCCCUCGGCUCAACCGAGGAAUUGCGUUUGAUACUACUUUGCUAGAGUCUCGGAGAGGUUGGCGGAAUUCCAGGUGUAGGAGUGAAAUCCGUAGAUAUCUGGAGGAACACCAGUGGCGAAGGCGGCCAACUGGACGAGUACUGACACUGAGGUGCGAAAGCGUGGGGAGCAAACGGGAUUAGAUA